GUAUUAGAAGUCGAAUUACUGAAGAAUCUUAGAAGCAAGCCUCGGGUUAGAAGACUUGAUCCCGUAGGUACAACUCGGAGUAGACACCGACAGGCCGGCCUUCCUCCGAUCCACACCUCCACUCUAUCUCUCUCAAUCUAGUAGAAACUAGAAGAUCUAUUUCUACCUUACAUUGGUUGCUAAGCCUAAAAAGAAAUAUUAUUUAGAGAAGAGGUUUUCCUUCGAGGGCACCCCUCAAUCUCUAUGAUAAUUUCUUGUCUCCUCCUGGGGCCAGAGGGGGUCUCCUUAUAUAGUCCUCCCCUUCUAUGCGUUUUUGGGUCGAUAGGCGAGGUGGUACUAUGUUAUUCUGGAUCCAAUAGGUCGGUGGAACGUCGUGUGCGAAGAGAGUCCUGUUUGGCAUCCAGAGGGGGGCGGGCGCCCAGGUCACCAGGGCGGGCGCCCUGGGCCUGGCCCCGUUUCGCCUCCGCUUCGGUCUCGUGGCUUCUGGAGUCUUCUAGAUGGUAGAAAAUUGCGCGGUGGGUUGAUAUCUCUAUGUAAUCCCGAUAUGUGGGCCUUUCUUCCUUAUUUCCUGAUAACCCCCUGCAGAAAUAGACAAACACCAAAACUCGUGGAAUUCUGUCAGAUAAAACCCUAAGUCUAGAUGUUGAUUUUAUUUGGAUCCUUUUCUUUAUUUAUUUGAUAAUUAAAUUUGACACUUAAGGACCGUCAACAAACUCCCCAAGCUUACCUCUUGCUCGUCCCUGAGCAAGGAUAGACUCAGCUAUGGAUCAUAAAUUGUUGCAAUAUUUUUAAAAAUUGAUGUACACAUGCUUUUUAAAUAAGAUCUCAUCUCUGAGUUAGAGUAAACUGUCAAGACUUAAAACUUACUUACUUUACCUUUACCAUGGGACUUGUAACUGUCACUUCUGUCUUGAGUGGUUAAAAGAUAGAACAGUCUAGCCAAGUGCCAUGUCUCUCAUUCUUGAUCAGCUAUAGCUCUGGGGUUUUUGCAGAUUUUCAAAUAAAACUCAGAAAUUCCUUGUAUGAUUCUCUCAGGUCUCUCUUUUGUGGUAUUUUUUGAAUCCUUAUCCAGGCAGUGAUGGUAUAUGCCUUCUCUCAAGAUAUGUAGUAUUUGUGGUAUAAGGCAUAGUGACAUUGCCUUCUCUCUCACCCUACUCUAAUAAGGCUUGAUAUCUGGAGCUCAUAGGUGGGACACAGUUAAUACAUACUUACAAGACAUUUAUUGCAUAGUCAAACCAUGGAUCCAAAGAAUCAAAUCAAUAAGCCAAAUCAAGAUGUGCAUGUGUGGUGAAUGAAUGGUGUAUGGUGAUGAUGGUGAUAACAAUGGUGGUGGAAGUCUAAUUCUACUUUGCUCUUUGAGGGGAUACAUACCUUCCUUGCUUUUGAAACUUUUUGGGGAGAAUGAGAUGCUCUAUAUUUUCUUUUUCUUACCUCUCAGAUGGGUAUCUUGUACCCCUAAUUCUACUGUCGGACACUUGUCCAUUUUUACCUCUCGUCUCACUUUUUCUUUUCUUUCGAGGUUCCGAGCACUUGCGCCUUUUUAUUUCCUCGUAUUCUUUCUCUCUCUUUUUUUCUUUUCUUUUUUUUAGAGCACUCAUCUCCUGAAAUAAUGUAGCAAGUGGUAGUAACCAAAAUAACUGGAGCAUUUAUUUCACAGGGAAUAACAGGGAUAGGAAAAUGUUUUUGGCUAUUCUCUCCCGGAUUAGGAGUAGAAUAAUUUCGGGUGAAACAGGAGAUGGAAAUGAGUGGAUAUAUGUGGAUGGUACUUCCGGAGUAGAAGUAGCAUGUAUGAGUGAACGUGCCAGUGAAUCUUGAUUUUAACCACAUGACAAGCUCCUAAGGGUCUACACAGCUUGACCACACUCAAUGCUCAUAAGCAGUAAAAAGUAAAUGUGUGGCUCAAAGUCUAAUAAGCAUGUAUAUAUGACUGUGGUAGGUAUUUAAACUCUCAUCAUACAGGAACUCAUCAUGCAACAUUUUAAAGAUUUUUAAAGAUAAAAUUCUCCAGAAUUCUAGCAUCUCUAGGAACAAAUAAACAGCAGCUCAACCUUCCCAUAUCGUAUCCGUUAACAACUUAGACUUCAGAUCAAGUUUUCAUCCCACAAGUUUAGGUCUAGAGCAAGCCUUAAAUUAUAACAGUUAUAUCUAAACUUGAGAGAGAACUUCAAAUUUGCAAAUUAGGCAGAGCAACUAUUCAUCAUAUCUAUGCUUAAGUUUUAUUAUUAAGAUUAGCAUAGCCAUUUUAUUUAUUUAUUAAACACACUAAGCAAUAUAUAUAAGCAUAAAAUCUUUAUUUGGUUUUUUAUAGUUUAUGUAUUUUAAUAUUCUAAUAUAGUAUAAGUAUAAAGAUAGAUAGAAAUACUUAUCGAGAUAAAUGGGGGUGCUCUCCCCCAAGCUGAAUUUUGACGUAAUUUCUUUUGAUGUAGCUAGCAGGUGGCAGAGGUGUGUUUGAAAGUCAGCAGUAUUUUGACAGCGAUUAGAAUGUCCUCCGUCUGCCAGUCUUCUUGAUUCUUAAAUUCUGUGGAGCUCAAAUAGACAACAAAGCUUGUGGAACUGAUUAAGUGUUAGCAUAAAUAUCUAGCCUUUAUCAUGUUGAGACUCCUUAAUAAAUAUUACUCCCUGUUUUUAUAUUUUUGUUUUUAUAAAGCAGAAAAAUAUUUAUUUUAUUUUUAUGCCACCACAGUGAAUGUAUUUAUGGGUUUUAUGCCACUCGUCUACUCACAUGGGGCUUACAGUUUUUUUCACAUUUUUAUUUUCUUUCUAUGAUAAUACGAACAUGAUUAACUAAGUAAACUAUUUGAAAUAAUUAAAAGGGAAUGGAUAACUACCAAGUUUACCUCUUGGCAAGGCGUUCGGUAUUUUUAAGUCCUCCGAACAGGACUCUCUGUUUUCUCAGUCGUCCUGGGAUUCACUGGGUGGCGUAGUCGGUGGUUCCGGCGGCGUCUCCUCUUCGUGUAUAACUAUCUUCUCUUGCCACACCUGACUCGGUGCUACGGUCUCCUCAGGAUAGUUGUAUUCAAGCUGUAUGUCUUCAGUCCUUAUCACUUCUCCUUCGUAGUCUACCCAUCCGUCCUUGAUGAUUUGCCUCCUCUGGUUGCGGUUGCGUUGUCUUCUUCUUGUCCUGACCUGCUUAGAAUCUUCAACUAUAUAGUUAGAAUUACUAAAGUAGUGGCGUACCUUCUCAGAGGGGAAGUGUAUGUGGACUUCUCCGGUUCCAAUGUAGAUGAUGGCUUUGAUAGUAUUGAGGAACGGUCUUCUAAGGAUGGUGGGUGGAUCAUACUUGUCUUCUCCUAUGUCAAUGACCUGAAAAUUGUUUGAAGAUGAAUGUAUCUUGGUUGUAGGGGCAUGGUUCCAUGCAGGAGCUGAUAAGUGACUGCGGCCAUUAUGUUAUCGUCAGAUCCGGUGUUGUAGAGUGUCUUCUAAAAAGAGUAUCCAUUGUUUUGUGCAUUCGAUUCUUGGAAUACCAGGGUCGUCCUUCUUAAUCAAGAAAGGUGACUUGAGUCGACGAUCUUGACCUCCUUGAACUACAGUGACCAUCUUAGCUGACUCAGUCCACAUUUGCUUGUUCCUGUUCCUCCUGUUGGUCCUCUUCCUUGAUUCAUGUCGGGAUUGCUCUGAAGUUUAUGUAGUUUUGUUCUUGAAGGGAAGUCUCUUGAUGUAGAGACUGAUCUUGGCAGCAUUAGCGUAGAUGACAGCUCAGGUGUUUAGGAAUGGCCUCCCUAAGAUAAUGGGUGCCCUCUCCUCAGUACCAGUCUCUACCACCACGAAGUUUGCUGGAGCGUACAAGGUACCAACUUGGACACAGAGGUUCUUU
rnacentral:lncRNA from 1 species